CUUCGAAGUUGAUUAUGUUUUAUAAAAGUGACAUGGCCUAGGCCACAUUUUGAUGGAAAAGAGGAAGAAGACGCACAAAAUAAGAAAACAACAAAAGAAAGAAGAAACUCUUUUCUAGAGUUUUUGAUUCAAUAUCAUGAAAAUAAAUUGAUUACAAUGUUGGCCAAAGGUACCAUAUUUAUAGAGAAAAAGUUCUAACCUAACAGCA
rnacentral:lncRNA from 1 species